rnacentral:pre_miRNA from 1 species
UAAAUACUCCCUCCGUUCGGAAUUACUUGUCUCGAAAGUGGAUGUAUCUAGAACUAAAAUACAUCUAGAUACAUUCAUUGCUUCGACAAGUAAUUCCAAACGGAGGGAGUAUAAU